rnacentral:snRNA from 1 species
UUAGCUCUCUUUGCCUUUUGGCUUAGAUCAAGUGUAGUAUCUGUUCUUUUCAGUUUAAUCUCUGAAAGAAUCCUACAAGGAUUCAAUCGUGAUUAAUCUAAUUUUUGUUCUUCGGAAGUGCAUCCUCUGUGCUUGCGCAUGAUCGCUUCCACAGUGUCCCUGGUAUUACACUGCCUCCAGGCGACGCGAACCCAA